AAGUCGUAACAAGGUUUCCGUAGGUGAACCUGCGGAAGGAUCAUUAAUGAAUGCUCACGAAGAUGAUUCCUUUUGCGAGGAUGAGUCUUCCAUUCACUCAUUUCACCCGUGCUCUCUAUCUUUAGGGAUAGAGUUUGUUUCUCACUCAAGUAAAUAUCAAAUUCGUCUGAAAUAAAAUAUUUCUGUAAAAAUGUUCUUUGCAGGUUAAAAGAUUAAACAAUUAAAACUAUGAACAACGGAUCUCUUGGCUCUU
rnacentral:misc_RNA from 1 species